AUUGAACGCUGGCGGCAGGCCUAACACAUGCAAGUCGAGCGGAUGAAGGGAGCUUGCUCCUGGAUUCAGCGGCGGACGGGUGAGUAAUGCCUAGGAAUCUGCCUGGUAGUGGGGGAUAACGUCCGGAAACGGGCGCUAAUACCGCAUACGUCCUGAGGGAGAAAGUGGGGGAUCUUCGGACCUCACGCUAUCAGAUGAGCCUAGGUCGGAUUGGCUAGUUGGUGGGGUAAAGGCCUACCAAGGCGAGCAUCCGUAACUGGUCUGAUAGGAUGAUCAGUCACACUGGAACUGAGACACGGUCCUGGCUCCUACGGGAGGCAGCAGUGGGGAAUGUUGGACAAUGGGCGAAAGCCUGAUCCAGCCAUGCCGCGUGUGUGAAGAAGGUCUUCGGAUUGUAAAGCACUUUAAGUUGGGGGGAAGGGCAGUAAGUUAAUACCUUGCUGUUUUGACGUUACCAACAGAAUAAGCACCGGCUAACUUCGUG
rnacentral:rRNA from 1 species